rnacentral:lncRNA from 1 species
CCUCUUCCUCUUCCCUCAUAGAAGAAGAUGUAGAACUAGAAUUUGUAGUAUUCAUGGCUGCCAAUUCAAAUAAAAAACAUAAAUCAAACUUCAAUUCAAAUAAACCCACUACCCAAUUCAAAAUACCCACCGCCCAAACCAACGAAUUGAAGUAAACCCACUGCCCAAUUCAGAAAAUUACCCACGCCACUGCCAAUUUGAAAUACCCGCUGUCAAUUCGAACAAAUUGAAAUACCCAUCUGCCUAAGUUAAUUGAAAUACACAAUAACCCAGUACCCAAUCCAACAAAUCAAAAAUUAAACUUCAAUCCAACAAAACCCAAAGCCAAAUUCAGCCAAUCAUCAUACAUACCCACUGCCCAAGCCAAAUAAAUGACUACCCAAGCC